AAAUCCCUGUGCUGUUGGUGAUUAGCGGAGUAUUGAGCCAACUCUCACUUUAAGGGUUGCCCUAAGGUGCUCAAUGGGAAUCCAGCCAGGAAUUCCCUGCAGGUAGUGUGGGCAUAACCCACCUAUUCAAUUAGGUUUAAUCAUUUCGCUGACACGGCAGUGUGGGGAUUCU
rnacentral:other from 1 species